AUUGAACGCUGGCGGCAUGCUUUACACAUGCAAGUCGAACGGCAGCACGGACUUCGGUCUGGUGGCGAGUGGCGAACGGGUGAGUAAUACAUCGGAACGUGCCCAGUUGUGGGGGAUAACUACUCGAAAGAGUAGCUAAUACCGCAUGAGAACUGAGGUUGAAAGCAGGGGAUCGUAAGACCUUGCGCAACUGGAGCGGCCGAUGGCAGAUUAGGUAGUUGGGGGGAUAAAAGCUUACCAAGCCGACGAUCUGUAGCUGGUCUGAGAGGACGAGCAGCCACACUGGGAGUGCGACACGGCCCAGACUCCGACGGGAGGCAGUAGUGGGGAAUUUUGGACAAUGGGCGAAAGCCUGACUCAGCAAUGCCGCGUGCAGGAUGAAGGCCUUCGGGUUGUAAACUGCUUUUGUACGGAACGAAAAGCUUCGGGCUAAUACCCUGGAGUCAUGACGGUACCGUAAGAAUAAGCACCGGCUAACUACGUGCCAGCCGCCACCGUAAAAC
rnacentral:rRNA from 1 species